rnacentral:lncRNA from 1 species
CUUGUCUCUUUCCCUCACUGGGACUAUAAGAAAUAAUGUAGAAUUAUAGUGAGGUCUUUUUUUCCUUUAAUAUGUUUCACUAUUAUUUUUUUCUUUUUUUGGUUUUUGGCUGCAGCCACAAGCCUUGUGGGAUCUUGUGGGAUCUUUGUUCCCAGACCAGGGAUUGAACCCACACCCUUGCAGUGAAAGUGCAGAGUCCUAACCUUUGGACUGCAAGGGAAUUUCCACUAUGUUUCUUUUUUUAUACUGCAUUCUCCUCUCCCUUACCAAAAUGCUGCAUUUGAAAAUGUAUCUUUUCUGUCUUAUUUUAUCUUACUUUCCAUAAUUGCUCUCUGUCCUCUGUUGGCAGGUUUUCUUGGACCUGUUUUGUGUGCAAAGCACGUAUAAGUCAAAGCCUUUUUCCGCAAGUGAGGUUGGUUAAGCAGAGAAAAGACAGCGAGGUGUUUUGUUUGUCUGGAAUCCUAUGGGCUUGGAGGCACAAUCUGGUGUACAGCAGGCCAGAGGGUCUGGAGUUAGCUGUGAUAUCAGGUGUUCUAGAGAGACUCUUUUGGGUCUUUGGUGGCCAUUACCCUCUAAGCAUAGCUUCACAUGGUAAGUUCCGUGAGUCAGCAAAUAUCUGUCCAGAGCCCACCUUAGAGACCAGGAAACCUGUAUUCUAGUGUCUGAUCUGCUAUUAAGAAGCCACAAAGGGGACUUCCCUGGUGGUCCAUUGGCUAAGACUCCACGCUCCCAAUGCAAGGGGUCCAGGUUCAAUCGUAGUCAGGGAAUGUAGUGUAGUGUAGUGUCAGUCGCUCAGUCGUGUCCGACUUUUUGCGACCCCAUGGACUGUAGCCCACCAGACUCCUCUGUCCAUGGGAUUCUCCAGGCAAAAAUAUUGAUGUGGGUUGCCAUUUUCUUCUCCACUAGUUGGGGAACUAGAUCCCAUAUGCUAUCGCGCUCUGCAACUAAAGACCCCACAUACUGCACGGAAGAUGAAAGAUACUGUGUGCCUCAGCUAAGACCCUGAGCAGAAAAUUUUUUUAAAAAGAAAAAACCAUGUAGAGUUGGGGGAGAGGGGCAGGAGAGGAAGCUACAGGACUUCCCUCUCAGAGACUCAGUUUUCGAGAGGAAGUUAUGGGACUUCCCUCUCAGAGACUCAGUUUUCAAUUAUCUUUAAAUAACAGGAGUGAACAAUAUAUUUAUAAGAUUCCUCUUAGCACUGAAAUUCUGUGAUUCUGGCAGAGACUGUGUCAUUUGGAUUUGCUUCUCUGAUUAAAAUGUGUGUAGUUGCUUGAAAAGUAUUUGGUUGAUUGUAUGUGAAGCUAGAGUCAUGUCUUUUUCAGGUUGUCCCAUUACCCUUUUGUCUGGUCUAUCCUUCUUUUCCUUGCUCAGAUAGGAUGAAGUUUCUUUGCACUAACAGUGUCAGGAGCUGGAACUGGAGUUACAAGUCUAGUUUAAAGAGCUAUCCAAAGGUUUCCAUUUCUACUGGCUUGAGGGCAAAAGAGGUUGUUGGGGGGCUUGCCUUUGGCCUCUGAGCCCAAGGGAUUCCAAAUGAAUGCUCUGCAAAGGUAAGCCUGUAUCAUUCAGCUUUGUGCAUUCAUCCCCAUAGCUUGUGCAAGGCAGACAGUGUUCAAUAAAGAA